CUCAACCGGGAAAGUACGCAGGAAACUGCCUUGCUAGAGGGCGGGAGAGGAGCGCGGAAUUCCUGGUGUAGUGGUGAAAUACGUAGAUAUCAGGAAGAACACCAGUGGCGAAGGCGGUCUUCUGGGCUGCAUCUGACGCUCAUGCACGAAAGCUGGGGUAGCGAACGGGAUUAGAUACCCCGGUAGUCCCAGCUGUAAACGAUGGACACUAGGUGUUGGAGGUUCGAAUCCUUCAGUGCCGGAGUUAACGCAUUAAGUGUCCCGCCUGGGGAAUACGGUCGCAAGACUGAAACUCAAAGGAAUUGACGGGGGCCCGCACAAGCGGUGGAGCAUGUGGUUUAAUUCGAUGCAACGCGAAGAACCUUACCGAGAAUUGACAUCCCGUGACUACCUGUGAGAGCAGGGUUUAGUGUUUACACUACAC
rnacentral:rRNA from 1 species